AUGUAUGAGAAUGUGGUUCAGUGGCGGUUCACGGGCUUUUAUGGUCACCCGAAAUGGAAUGAACGCCAUCUAUCUUGGGAUGACAUUCGUAAUCUACAUAGUAAGAGCAACCAUCCUUGGGUGGUUUUGGGGGAUUUUAAUGAAAUUUUAUACCCCUCGGAAAAAGAGGGUGGUGUAGCUAGACCACUUGGUAUGAUGAGAGAGUUCCGUGAAUGCCUAACGGAUUGUGGGCUGGAUGAUCUAGGCUAUUUUGGGGACAUGUUCACUUGGAGGAGAGGCGAAAUACGUGAGCGCCUUGAUCGUGCAGUCUGUAACUUAGCAUGGGCAAACAAAUUUCCACGAGCGGCAGUUAUCAAUGAAGAACAUGUUCAUUCCGACCAUCGCCCAAUCGUA
rnacentral:rRNA from 1 species